GGUCCUUCGGGAUGCUGGCGAGCGGCGGACGGGUGAGUAACGCGUGGGAAUCUGCCCAUCGGUGGGGGAUAGCCCGAGGAAACUCGGAUUAAUACCGCAUGCGUCCUUCGGGGCAAAGUGGACCUCUGAUUCAAGUUCAUGCUGAUGGAUGAGCCCGCGUCCGAUUAGCUAGUUGGUAGGGUAAAGGCAUACCAAGGCGACGAUCGGUAGCUGGUCUGAGAGGACGAUCAGCCACACCGGAGCUGAGACACGGUCCGGACUCCUACGGGAGGCAGCAGUGGGGAAUAUUGGACAAUGGGCGAAAGCCUGAUCCAGCAAUGCCGCGUGGGUGAAGAAGGCUUUCGGGUUGUAAAGCCCUUUCAGCAGGGAGGAAAAGCAUUCGGUUAAUACCCGGGUGUCUUGACGUUACCUGCAGAAGAAGCACCGGCUAACUCCGUGCCAGCAGCCGCGGUAAUACGGAGGGUGCAAGCGUUAAUCGGAAUUACUGGGCGUAAAGCGCGCGUAGGCGGUCGGAUAAGUCGGAGGUGAAAUCCCUGGGCUCAACCUGGGAAUUGCAUUCGAUACUGUCUGGCUAGAGUCUGGUAGAGGGUGGUGGAAUCCCGGUGUAGCGGUGAAAUGCGUAGAUAUCGGGAGGAACAUCAGUGGCGAAGGCGAGCCACCUGGAUCAAGACUGACGCUGAG
rnacentral:rRNA from 1 species